UACGUAGGGUGCGAGCGUUGUCCGGAUUUAUUGGGCGUAAAGGGCUCGUAGGCGGCGUGUCGCGUCGGGGAGUGAAAGCCCGCUGCUUAACGGCGGGUUGGCUUCCGGUACGGGCAUCGCUGGAGUGCGGCAGGGGAGACUGGAAUUCCUGGUGUAGCGGUGGAAUGCGCAGAUAUCAGGAGGAACACCGGUAGCGAAGGCGGGGUCUCUGGGCCGUUACUGACGCUGAGGAGCGAAAGCGUGGGGAGCGAACAGG
rnacentral:rRNA from 1 species